rnacentral:tRNA from 1 species
GGACACGUGGCUGAGCGGUCGAAAGCGGCACCCUGCUAAGGUGUUAUAUGGGUAACUGUAUCGGAGGUUCAAAUCCUCUCGUGUCCG